rnacentral:tRNA from 1 species
GCUAGAUUAGCUUAUAUAAUUUGAAAGUGUGACUUUGAAGGUGUUAAGAAGGAUGUAGGGUUCAUCUAGCA